rnacentral:rRNA from 1 species
AGCUGAAUUCCCAAGUACCACGAGACACGGAAAACCUUGUGGGAAGCCGGGUCGGUCACGAUCCAAGACUAAAUACUCAAACUGACCGAUAGUGAACUAGUACCGUGAGGGAAAGGUGAAAAGCACCCCGAAAGGGGAGUGAAAUAGAAACUGAAACCAUUAGCUAACAAACAGACAAAGUCAUAGUUUUACUAUGAUGAUGUCGUGCCUAUUGAAGAAUGAGCCAGCGAGUGUUCAAAGAUACUGCAUGUUUAAUCCCAAUAUUUGGGAGUAGGCAUAGGGAAACCAAGUCUGAAUAGGGCGAAAUAUUUGCAGUUAUUGAACGACCCGAAACUGGGUGAGCUAACCAUGAGCAGGGUGAACAUUUAUGAAAAUAAAUGGAAGGCCCGAACUCGUUGUCGGUGAAAUGACAUGAGAUGACUUGUGGUUAGGGGUAAUAUGCCAAUCGAACCCAGAGAUAGCUGGUUCUCCCCGAGAUAUAUUUAGGUAUAGCCUUCACCGUAACAUAAUAGGGGUAGAGCUACUGGAUAGUUUUGGGAGCUUUUAGCGACCAGAACCAACCAAACUCCGAAUACUUAUUAUGGUGGUGGGGAGUCAGUCCUAUUCGGAUAAGCGAGUAUGGGCGAAAGGGAAACAACCCAGACUCUCGUCUAAGGUUCUUAAAUGAUUUUUAAGUGAUACAAGGAUGUUGUAUUUCCAAUACAGCAGGUAGGUUGGCUUAGAAGCAGCCAUCCUUUAAAGAGUGCGUAACAGCUCACCUGAAUAGUCCUGCUUCGGCAGGAUGGAAAUACUGCGCCGAAAAUGAACGGAGCUAAAUAAUCUACCGAAGACGGAGAUUUGCGAUUUAUUCGCAAGUGGUAGGGGAGCGUUCUUGCAUCAGUGAAUGCAAACUGUAAAGUUUGCUGGAGAGGCAAGAAGUGAGAAUGCUGGCAUGAGUAGUGAUUCUCCCGAUGAAAACUCGGGAUGCCGAAAAUCCAAGGUUUCCUCAGCAAUGUCAAUCAGCUGAGGGUUAGUCGGAUCUAACUUGGCCUUAUACAUUAAGGCUAGGGAUGUACAAACCGUUAAUAUUCGGUUACUUAUUUUUAUGCGUUAUUAUGUUUUUAAUGACGAAGUUUGCUAAGCGGAGCCUUGCUUGCAGGGUUUAAAUAGUUAAAUAUUUCGUAAGUUAUAUCAAAGCUAUGAAUACAAAUUUUCGUAACGAGAAUAAGUCUGCUGACGUAAGUUUCCCGGAAAAGUUAAAAACAGAGUGUAAAAAUAAUCCGUACCAAAACCGACACAGGUGGAUAGGUGGAGAACACCAAGGCAUACGGGUAAUGUUAGUUCAAGGAACUCGGCAAACAAGCUGAGCGUAAGUUAUACAAGAUGCUCUGUCACCUUUUUUAAGGUGAUCGCAGCGAAAGAUUAUCAACCGACUGUUUAUCUAAAACACAGGCUCCUGCAAACCUGUAAAGGGAAGUAUAGGAGCUGAGGCCUGUCCGGUGCUGGUAGGUUAAUUAUCGGGGUUGACCUCAACUUUAUUGAUUGAGGAAGGCUCUGGUACAAGCUCCAGUAAACGACAGCUCUAACCCUGAGAGUUCUAAGGUAGCGUAGCCCCUUGCCGGGUAAGUUCCGGCCCGCAUGAAUGGCUUAACGAGUUGAUAACUGUCUCGAACUAUUGCCCGACGAAAUUGAAAUGGCUGUGAAGAUGCGGCCUACUUGCACAAGGACAAAAAGACCCCGGAAGCUUUACUGAAACUAGACAUUGGUGAAAGGUAAUUAACUGUUGAGCGUAGGAGGGAGUCUCUAAGACAACAAUGAAACACCUCUCUUUGAUUUUUUUUCGCCUUAUUGCCUACAAGCAAAACAGUGUUUGGCGGUCAGUUUAACUGGGGCGGUUUCCUCCAAAAAAGUAACGGAGGAGCGCAAAGGUCAGCUUAUUCCGGAUGGAAAUCGGAAUGUAUGUGUAAACGCAAAAGCUGGCUUAACUGUGAGGAUGACAAUCCAAACAGAUGCGAAAGCAGGCGUUAGUGAUCCCCGAUCCCGAUGUGAUUUUCGGGACGGGCUUAACGGAUAAAAAGCUACUCCGGGGACAACAGGCUAGUCGCGCCCGAGCGCUCAUAGCGACGGCGCGGUUCGGCACCUCGAUGUCGGCUCAUCGUAUCCUGGAGCUGUAGUCGGUUCCAAG